rnacentral:tRNA from 2 species
GGACCGUUAGCUCAGACUGGUAGAGCGCUCGCUUCACACGCGAGAGGUCACUGGUUCAAGUCCAGUACGGUCCA